rnacentral:lncRNA from 1 species
UCCAUCAAAAAAUCAUCAAAUUAUUCAUUCAAGUUCAUUUUCUACACCUCCACCAUUAAUCCAAUAAUCCAUCACAUUACAACCCAAAUUCUAUUUCACUAUACCUCCAAUUUCCAAAUUCAAAAUUCCAUACAUACCAUAUCAUUUGAAUUACAAUAGCAUACACUAUAACCAUUAACUCAAACUGAUACAAUAGUUACGAAAAUUACAAUAUACAAAUAGACAACCCGAGGUCAU